rnacentral:lncRNA from 1 species
CGGGAGGACGGCGUCUCCAGGAGCCCCACUGACCGGCCAGCAAGGACUGCCAACACGAGUGACCGAGGGCCUGUCUAGUCUCCUUUACCCAGAAGAUGAGUAAAAGCUCCACCAUGAAGAACCCCAGAAGGGUGUCCUACGAUGCUAAUGUGCUGAAGACAUUUUGGGAGAAAAAAAUCGAGCUUCACACGAAACAACUGCAGGAUGAGGACCGGAGGGUCCGCAGGAGUGCCCUGGACAGGUGAGCCUGGUGUGGGCAACCAGCGGAGGGGCACCUGGCCAGGGCCCACAGACCCCCCACCGGCUUCCUCCCCCGGGACCAGGGUCUUGGGAGGAGUGGGUAAAAGCACAGAACACCAACCACUUAAUCUCAGCUUCUGAACUGAAUCGUUGACUCACUGGUGAGAGAGGAACACCCCAUUCCUCUGCUCCUCACUCCUUCACCCACCCCAACUUCACCCACACCUCCUUCACCCCAUCCCUCCAUCAUCGCACCCGCCAUUGCCCCAUGCCUCCAUCACCCAUCCCUCUAUCUCUCCAUCACCCAUCCCUUCAUCAUCCAUCCCUCCAUCUCUCCAUCACCCAUCCUUCCAUCACCCAUUCCUCCAUCAUCCCAUCCCUCCAUCAUCCCAUCCCUCUGUCUCUCCAUUACCUAUCCCUCCAUCACCCAUCCCUUCAUCAUCCAUCCCUCUAUCACCCAUGCCUCCAUUACCCCAUCCCUCCAUCCCUCCAUCACCCCAUCUCUCUAUCACCCAUCCCUUCAUCUCUGCUCCUCUGAGGGCUUUAUGGGAAGUUGUUGCCCAGGGCUUGUCUGGCUCAGCCUGGUUUUCUGACAUUCUCCCCCGCUGAAUGCAGGAUAAAUCCAUGUGUCCAUCCUGCUCCUUCCCUCACAUUUGCUUUCUUGCAGCUUCAAAGUUGAUGUCCUUUCCUUAACUGGGUGGAUGCCAGGGGCCUCUGGGAGCUGAGGGGGGUCUCCUGGGUGACUCUGAGCAGACCCAGGAGUCACAGCUCACGGGCAGCUAAGAGGGCAUAUUAGCACAUAAUUUGCACCUAGACAAGGACUCAAACGGCCAGAAACAUCCAAAGUGGUCACAGCCUUGGUCCCCAAAUAGCACCAGCAGCUGCUUGCCCUGAGAUCUGGCUUAGGAAGGAUUCUUGGCGGCUGAGGUGGGACCAGGCUUGGUACUGACCUUGCAAGUAGCCAGAGGUCUGGUUGUUGCACUGCCCCCACCCUGCUCAUCAUCCCGGACUCCUGCCUGUUCGGCACAAGUACAGGCCCUGGUGCCUCCUCUGCACAGCCCCGCAGAGCCAGACGCUGCACCCCAGGACCUCUCGGGGUAGGGGUACAGCACAGACUCUUCCAGGAAUGACUCCUCCCAGCCCUGGGCCCUCCUAGGUCUCUGUGGCCCCAUAUCUGCCCUGCGUGGCCAAGGGGCCCUGGAAACUUCUCAGUCUUGGCCCAUGGGUGCAGGUCCCAGGAGUGGGCAUCAUCAGGUCAAUGAGAAUGCGGUCAACACUGGCCAGGUUAGGCAUAAGUUCUGAGCUGCUGGGGCACAGACUGGGGGUGACAUCCUCACUUCUCUGGGGAGAGGGAGCUGGCUGUGGCGCCUUGGAUCUACCUGCCCACUGGGCAGCGGCUCCUGAUCGCAUCCCCACAGCCAUCCACUGCCUGGGAAAGGGGCAGGAGAGGGCCGGUGCCCUGGAGUUGGGCUGCCCAGCCUCCCUACCCACUGAUGGGAGGUCCCCUCCAUCCAGGCCCCUAGCACAGGGACCCCACCCUCCCCCCUCCAAACCACCCACACAUUCAGCCAGGCCCACGGUGGCUUCCGGUUCUGAGGGAGCCUGUGCCCCUGGGCCAGGCCAUUCCUGCCUUGGUCACUGCAUGAGUCAAGCUGUGGUCAUCACAAGAUGCCACCUUCCGAGGGAGGGAGCACCCAGUGGGGUGAGUGUGGGCCGCUCGGCGAGGCCAGCCCACACCGGCCGUGUCCAGACCUGAGGAGCACAGGUUCCUGCUGGGACUAGGCAUGCCCUGAGUCCUGUUUCCAUCUCUGGGAAGAGCCUGAGCCAGACCCUCCUUGGCGAGUGGGGCUUGAAGCAUGAGCACCAGGUCACAGGGCCCUUGGGGACCCCACAUGUCCGGCAGGCAGCCUGAGGAGGGGGAAGCUGAGUUGCCCGCAGACAGGCAGCUGUCCCCCACCCUCACUGUUGCCUGGUCCAGGCUCCGCGGUGAGUGGGCUCGGAAGCUGGAAAGAAGGAACCAGAUGCUGCAGAGCAGCCGGGAGGCAGCCCCGCGGCCCCCCCUGCCCGGCACCCCCGGCCGCCACACCCAGGACCAGCUGGCAGCCUGAGGCCAGGACCUGCCUCCUCUGACGGCCCCGCAGUGGUCCUCCCAGCAGCCGGACCCCUUCACAGUUUUGUGUCUCUAGCGUGAUGCGAACACCCAAUAAAAUCCAAGAAAAGU